rnacentral:lncRNA from 1 species
AUUUAUUUUCCAAUACAUGAACUCGAAAACAACUGAAAAUUCAGGGAGGAAGGUAAUAAUCUAUAGAAACUAUAAAAAAUAGAAUGGUAUACAGCACAUCAAAGUUAUCAAUCCCCCACCCUAGCAUCGCCAAACUCAUCAUCGUCGUCGGACCCAAUUUCAAAAACUCACUCCCCACGAUUAAAUCUGAAUCAAAAUUAUAACAAACACAACACAAAUUCAAAAACAAAAACUAAAAAACCAAUCUCAACUUCCUCAAAACAAUAACAACAACAAUAGUAAUAACAAUAAUUAAACCACAAACACAUUUCAAAAAAUCAAAUUUAGAAACAAAAAUCUUAGAACAUAAGAAAUAAUUGGAAGGAGAUUCAGAAGAGGAAUUAAGUCUUCAUCCCCUCCAUGUCGUUAUUCUCCAACCACCUACCAAUCGUGGAGCUCUCUGUCGUGCGCAACACAAGCGAUGGCAUUCACCACCACCGACAUCCUUGGAACACCCCACCCUCAAAGGAUCACAUUCUUGGAGAGGUUCCCCAUCAACAUUACCAGAUCCGACGAUCAAAGAGCCACAGAAACAAAAAACAAACACGAGGAACGAUGAUGUAUUUGACAAGGGCGACAAAGUUGGGUUCUUUCCGUAACAGCUUCGUGGAGAAGAAGGAAAGAGGACCACUCGCUAUGGAUGCAAUAUUGUUCCUAUUGCACUGUCUCCGACAACAUCGUCGACACGAAGAAGACAGUGAAGCGCGUGGCAGCAACGGGUGGGGGGAGGGUGAUGCCGUGGAGUUGGAGGCUCGAUUUGAGGGUAAAGUAAAAAGGGUAUUUUCAGUUUCACACCACAAAAAAAGAGGGACAAUUUUGUCUUUUAACUUAAAAAAGAAAACGUUACUUAACGUAGUUGUUUACAGAGGGGAGGCGAAAGUGAUGCUAAAAAAUGAGAGGGUGCAUGUGUAAUUGGUGUAAACCUUUGGGGUGUUUCUGUAAUUAUCUCAUUUUUAAAUUAUUUAAUUACUAAUAAACUUAAUUUAUUAAAAAUAAAUUUUAAAAAAU